rnacentral:tRNA from 1 species
CAGGGUAUAGCGCAGCCUGGUAGCGCGCCUGUUUUGGGAACAGGAAGUCAUAGGUUCAAAUCCUAUUACCCUGA